UCCACAUAUAAAGAUUUCAUAUAUGAAAUAUUUCAUAUAUGAAAUUUUCAUAUAUGAAACUGUUUCAAUUCCACAUAAAGAUUUCAUAUAUCAAAUAUUUCAUAUAUGAAAUUCCACAUUAAGACUUCAUGUAUGAAAUUCUCACAUGUUUCAAAUGUUCAAAUAUUAAGUUUUAUGCAUUGAAAUUAAGCGAGUCAGGGGAAGUUUAUGCGAUCCCAUUUACCCGAGAUUAAACAAAGCGAGCAAUGGCUUUGAGGUAUUGAAAUAAGUCCUUAUGAAACCAGACAAGCACAUGCUAACAACAGACUAAAUAUAGAUCAAUGCAAAAAAAC